CAAUUGUGUUUUUCAUCACGCCAGGAAAAAUCCGGUCCACUAUCAGGAGUGCAGUCACCCUGGAGACAGUGACUAUGAGGAAGAGGAGGCAGAGGAUGCUGACAGUGACAGGCCGGACUGACCGUAUGGCACCCACUGCUACAGGAAGAAUCUACUUCACAAGAAAGAGUACAAACACACUAAAUCACCACCCAAGACCGCUGCUGCUGAGAAUGAUGAUCACUAUGAAAACAGUUUUAUUAAUGAUGAGAGUGAGGAGGAGGAGGUGGAUGAAGACUCGGAUUAUGUGCCCGAAUCAGACGACCGUGGCAAAGAGGACAUUAAAUGCCUGCAGAAAGAAGCGAAAGCAUUCGUCAGGAGGGCGAAGUGACUUCCUUUUAGGGUAUUUUCCAUGAAAACAGCUUCUUGACACUUAUCUCACAACGACUAUGAAAGACCUCACACUCUCCAAGGAGGCAUUUUAUUAAGUCUUAGAUUAUUUUCAUGACCUUUUACCUUCAUAUUCUAAGGAAUAGUUGUAUAUAUGUAUAUAUUUAGCACAAGUCAUAUAGAGUACUUUAUCAUACUUUAUAGUUCAUUUUCUCUUUUAUUUUUUUG
rnacentral:lncRNA from 1 species